CUUAGAAAUUACUGUGACUUCUAAGGUUCAUAUGUCUUGAGAAUUUGGCUUAGCAUGAAGAGCUGCUCAACAGCUGUAAACCUUAAUGCAGCCAUAGCAGUUCUCCAUCAGAGUCCGGAGAAGGACUGAAGCACAUUUCAGGAGGAAGCAGAGGGUUUGUCACUCAUGAAAGCCCCACGCAUCACCCAGCACCUGUUCAAGGCCUUUCUGGCCUCAGGAAAGACUAUAUGCUGUCUUUGAUUUUGUUUUAUAAAUGCCACUGGGGUUAGCUGCUGAAUGCCCUUCUAAUCCAUAAGCAAGGUCUCACCUUUGGGGUUCUUAUCAACGCUGACAAGCAGCAAGCAAUUGAAAAGGCAGUCAGAUUUUUUCAUGGCAUCAAACUUUUUGCUCCUCCUUCAUAAUGCUCAGGGAAAAAAACUCCAAGCUGUUAACACGGAUUUUUUGCAGCAUCCCAAGCCUACAGCUUGGAUGGAGCAAUGGUAGGUGCAGAAUUGCCAUCACUUUUCUUAGGCUGGUGCCUCAGGGCUCAGACCACCUACACAGCACCUGCAGACAAAUUGUUGGAGGUCAUUAGCCUGAAGGCCUUCACCUGCUGUCAGCUUCCCCUCCUCAUUUAUAGCAGAUCCUCAGCUCUAACAGAGGGGCACAGAUAGGCAUUUUGCUUGAAUGUCUUGUGUGGGGUUUUUUUUUUUUGUCUGGAGAGGUCUUGGGGGAUUUGCUUCAGCUGUUGCUGUUUGCAAGAUGGGCUGGAGUUCUAGGAAUACCACCAGCAAAUGCUGUAUCUCAGGUUGCUGAGACACCAGGGCAGGGAGGUCCUGAGCAUCAGAGCAGUUUGUGACAGUCAUCAGAAAAUAUGCACUCCCCUACAUGAGUGUCUCACGGUGGAACUCAUCUCUCAAGCUUCUUUGGUGUUUAAACUGGAAAAUGCUGAAUUCUGGAGAGCCGCAAGGAACAGACACUGCUA
rnacentral:lncRNA from 1 species